GAUGAACGCUGGCGGCGUGCUUAACACAUGCAAGUCGAACGGAAAGGCGAUGCUUUUGUGGGGUGCACGAGAGGCGCACGGGUGAGUAAAACGCGAGUAACCUGCCCUUGACUUUGGGAUAACUUCAGGAAAAUGGGGCUCAUACCGGAUAGGAGAUCCUGAAGCAUGGGGGGGGUUGGAAAGAUUCGGCGGUGGGGGAUUGACUCGCGGCUUAUCAGCUUGUUGGUGGGGUAGUGGCUUACCAAGGCUUUGACGGGUAGCAGGCCUGAGAGGGUGACCGGCCACCUUGGGACUGAGAGACGGCCCAGACUCCUACGGGAGGCAGCAGUGGGGAAUAUUGCACAAUGGGCGGAAGCCUGAUGCAGCAACGCCGCGUGCGGGAUGACGGCCUUCGGGUUGUAAACCGCUUUCGCCUGUGACGAAGCGUGAGUGACGGUAAUGGGUAAAGAAGCACCGGCUAACUACGUG
rnacentral:rRNA from 1 species